ACCGUAUCUUCAGAAGGAUAUUGAUACCUUAGAGAGGGUUCAGAGAAGGGCUACUAAACUGGUUCAUGGAUUGCGGGAUAAAACUUACCAGGAAAGGUUAAAGGAUCUUAACAUGUAUAGCUUGGAGGAAAGACGAGACAGGGGGGAUAUGAUAGAAAUAUUUAAAUAUAUAAAGGGAAUCAUCACAGUAAAGGAGGAGACUAUAUUUAAAAGAAGAAAAAC